GGCCUUUUAUCUUUUUAAGGUCUGGCCUGCCCACUGAUAUUUGAAGGGCCGUGGUAUACUGACCAUGCGAAGGUAGCAUAAUCAUUUGCCUCUUAAUUAGGGGCUGGAAUGAAGGGUUUUACGAGAAACUUUCUGUCUCUUUUAGUAAUUUGAAUUUAAUUUUUUGGUGAAAAAGCUAAAAUUUUCUUGUAGGACGAUAAGACCCUAUAGAUCUUUUUUGUUGGGGCGACAAUGAGUGAUGAUUUAUCUCUCAUAUUUAUCUUACAAUUAUCAUUGGGUUUUGAUCCUUUAGUGAAUUAAGAUUAAGUUACCUUAGGGAUAACAGCGUAAUUUUUCUUGAGAGUUCUUAUCGACAGAAAAGUUUGCGACCUCGAUGUUGGUUCAGGAUUCCUUUUGGGCGCAGUAGUUCAGAAAGGUAGUCUGUUCGACUAUUAAAUUCCUACG
rnacentral:rRNA from 1 species